ensembl:snRNA U6 U6 spliceosomal RNA
GUGCUCACUUCAGCAGCACACAUACUAAAACUGGAAUAAUACAGAGAAGAUUAGCAUGACCCCUGUGCAAGGACAACAUGCAAAUUCAUGAAGCAUUCCAUGUUUUU